UUCCCCGCCUUGAUGUGGAAGGACGUAGACACCUCGAGAGACCGGAAGCCGGUGGUUUUCUGCUGACAUGAGAAUGUGGGGUGCGUGUUACCCUCCCACCGUGGGGCACGCUGACUUACUUUUGCCCACAUAGGUCAGUUGUUCGAAGUAAGCAUUCGUGUUCAUAGUCUGCUGUGGCCAGAUAAUAGAGAAACGAGCCGUACACGGACCUCAGACCUGGUGAUUUUUCAACUUGUGCUCUGUGAGAAGAUGCUUCAGAAGGAAACACACAAGUCCUUGUCCCUGUGGAGUCUAUGCUGGUGGCGGGAGGAGGGCAGACACAGCAGACGUGGAUGUUCAUGGCGAUGUGGAGAAAACAAAGUGGGAGGGGGCGUGGGUUCACCGAGGGAAAAGGCCGUUCUCAGCACAGGAUGGCCUGGGAAGACCUCACCCAGCAAGCAGCAGCGGCCUGUGCUCCAGAGCAGAGAGAGGAGUCAGAGAGCCGUGAGGAGCGUCCCUGGCCAGGGCGCAGCAGGUGCAAAGGCCCUGAGGUGCGUCGGUGUUAACGUCCAGGAGAUCAGCGUGGCUGGAGCAGAGCGAGCGGCGGAGUGGUAGGAGUGAAGAUGCUCUGUUUUCAAUCAAAAACAAGAUCAUCCUAAAUGUCACCACUCAACACCCAUCUGGACUCCUGAAAGCAAGCUGCCUUGUUUCUGAAUCAGAUGUCAUCACCCACUGAAAAGCCUCCCGCCUCCAAGCUGGGCCGGGUGGGAACGCCUCAUCCAUCUCUCCCAGCGAGGCUGGGUUACAGGUGACCAUUUCCUGCUGAAGAAAGGGGAUGGAGCAGAAACAGGUGGCAACUGAGAGCCAGGUUAUCACAGCUUCUUUGACCCUUUGGAGCCCAACAAUUACAGAAAUACUUGUUGUUC